rnacentral:rRNA from 1 species
UAAGGAAUAUUGGUCAAUGGACGCAAGUCUGAACCAGCCAUGCCGCGUGGAGGAUGAAGGUCCUCUGGAUUGUAAACUUCUUUUAUCUGGGACGAAAAAGGGUCUUUCUAGAUCAACUGACGGUACCAGAUGAAUAAGCACCGGCUAACUCCGUGCCAGCAGCCGCGGUAAUACGGAGGGUGCAAGCGUUAUCCGGAUUCACUGGGUUUAAAGGGUGCGUAGGUGGGUUGGUAAGUCAGUGGUGAAAUCCCCGAGCUUAACUUGGGAACUGCCAUUGAUACUAUCAGUCUUGAAUAUUGUGGAGGUUAGCGGAAUAUGUCAUGUAGCGGUGAAAUGCUUAGAUAUGACAUAGAACACCAAUUGCGAAGGCAGCUGGCUACGCAUAUAUUGACACUGAGGCACGAAAGCGUGGGGAUCAAACAGGAUUAGAUACCCUGGUAGUCCACGCCCUAAACUAUGGAUACUCGACAUCAGCGA